AGCGAACGCUGGCGGCAGGCCUAAACAUGCAAGUCGAACGGAUCCUUCGGGAUUAGUGGCGGACGGGUGAGUAACACGUGGAACGUGCCUUUUGGUUCGGAACAACUCAGGGAAACUUGAGCUAAUACCGAAUGUGCCCUUCGGGGAAAGAUUAUCGCCAUUAGAGCGGCCCGCGUCUGAUUAGCUUGUUGGUGAGGUAAAGGCUCACCAAGGCGACGAUCAGUAGCUGGUCUGAGAGGAUGAUCAGCCACACUGGGACUGAGACACGGCCCAGACUCCUACGGGAGGCAGCAGUUAGGAAUCUUGCGCAAUGGGGGAAACCCUGACGCAGCCAUGCCGCGUGAAUGAUGAAGGUCUUAGGAUUGUAAAAUUCUUUCAGCGGGGACGAUAAUGACGGUACCCGCAGAAGAAGCCCCGGCUAACUUCGUGCCAGCAGCCGCGGU
rnacentral:rRNA from 1 species